rnacentral:rRNA from 1 species
GACGAACGCUGGCGGCGUGCUUAACACAUGCAAGUCGAACGAAGUGGCGAACGGGUGAGUAACGCGUAAUCAACCUGCCCUUCAGCGGGGGACAAAAGUUGGACACGACUGCUAAUACCGCAUACUGAAGGAGGGGAGUGCGUCUGAUUAGCUUGUUGGAGGGGUAACGGCCCACCAAGGCGAUGAUCAGUAGCCGGUCUGAGAGGAUGAACGGCCACAUUGGGACUGAGACACGGCCCAGACUCCUACGGGAGGCAGCAGUGGGGAAUCUUCCGCAAUGGACGAAAGUCUGACGGAGCAACGCCGCGUGAGUGAUGACGGCCUUCGGGUUGUAAAGCUCUGUUAAUCGGGACGCGGUACCGGAAUAGAAAGCCACGGCUAACUACGUGCCAGCAGCCGCGGUAAUAC